GGAUUAGUAGCGUAAUUGUAGUGCGACAGGCUGUUAACCUGUGGGUUGAAGGUUCAAAUCACUCCUAAUCCG
rnacentral:tRNA from 1 species